CCUACGGGUGGCUGCAGUGGGGAAUUUUGCGCAAUGGGGGCAACCCUGACGCAGCAACGCCGCGUGAGUGAUGAAGGCCUUCGGGUCGUAAAGCUCUGUCAGAGGGGAAGAAAUGCAGGUGGUGAACAACCAUUCUGUUUGACGGUACCCUCAAAGGAAGCACCGGCUAACUCCGCGCCAGCAGCCGCGGUAAUACGGAGGGUGCGAGCGUUGUUCGGAAUUAUUGGGCGUAAAGCGCGUGUAGGCGGUUUGUUAAGUCUGAGGUAAAAGCCCCGGGCUCAACCGGGAAAGUGCGUUGGAUACUGGCAGACUUGAGUACGGGAGAGGAGAGUGGAAUUCCCAGUGUAGGGGUGAAAUCCGUAGAUAUUGGGAGGAACACCGGUGGCGAAGGCGGCUCUCUGGACCGAUACUGACGCUGAGACGCGAAAGCGUGGGGAGCAAACAGGAUUAGAUCCCUUGUUAGU
rnacentral:rRNA from 1 species